rnacentral:lncRNA from 1 species
GUCGGUAGGGUCGUGUUUCCCUCGCCGGUACCGGCAUCCUCCAGCCCCGGUACCGGGCAGCCCUCAGCCCCGGUACCGACAUCUCCCAGCCCCGGUACCGCCAUCCCCCAGUCCUGGUACCGGCAAUCUCCAGCCCCGGUACCGGCAAUCCCCAGCUCCGGUACCGCCAUCCCCCAGUCCCGGUACCGGUACAUCUCCGGUACAUCCCCCAUCCCCAGUACCGGCAAUCCCCAGCCCCGGACCCCGCGUCCUCCGAGGCUCCGGGGAUGGAGGGUGCCGGUAUCCGCAGCUUCCAGCCCCGCUCUCCGAAUCUCUCAGCCCCGGCUCCCGAAUUCUCAAUUCCCGGUACCCGAAUCCUCCAUUCCCCGGUCCUGAAUCCUCCAUCCUCGACUCCUCCAUCCCCGGUUUUCCGCAUCCUCCAGCCCCGGUUCCCGAAUUCUCAGUUCCCGGCUCCCGAAUUCUCAAUUCCCGGUUCCCGAAUCCUCCAUCCCCGCCGCUCCCCGAAUCCUCCAGCCCCGUUUCCCGAAUUUUCAAUUCCCGGUUCCCGAAUCCUCCAUCCUCGGUUCCCGCAUCCUCCAGCCCCGCUCCCCGCAUCCCCCUGCGUCUGUCCCCGCCGCUCUCAUCCUCCAUGCCCGGUUCCUCUAUCCCCGGUUCCCGCAUCCUCCAUCUCCGGUUCCUUCAUUCCCGAUUCCCGCUCUCUGCAUCCUCCAUGCCCGGUUCCCGCAACCUCCAUGCCCGGUUCCCGCAUCCCCAUUCCCCAAUUCCCGAGUCCCCUCUCCCCGUGUCCCCUCUCCGGGACCCCCGCACGCACCGGCGGCGCUGCGGGCUCGGCAGGGCCGGGCUGUCCCCGUGCUCGGGGCGGGCGGAGCCUCCCCCGGUGCCCCCAUCCCCGCUCCCGCUCCCCCGGGACGCACCGGGGGCUGCCGCCCGCCCGGGCCCCCCCGCGCCCCUCUGGCGGAGCCCCCCGGACGCACCGGCGGCGCUGCGGGCUCAGGGCCGGGCUCUCGCCGGGCGCCGGGCGGGCGGAGCGGGCCCCGGGCAGGGCCAUGAGCGGCGGAGGGCCCGGCCCGGCCCCGCUCCGGCCGCAGCCUCGCCGCGCUCCGCCCGGCCCCGCGCCGGCGCUGCUGUGUCACCGGAGGGGCCGGGC